UACAGAGGGGGCAAGCGUUGUUCGGAAUUACUGGGCGUAAAGCGUGCGCAGGCGGUUGUGCAAGACAGAUGUGAAAUCCCCGGGCUUAACCUGGGAAUGGCAUUUGUGACUGCACGGCUAGAGUGUGUCAGAGGGGGGUAGAAUUCCACGUGUGAGCAGUGAAAUGCGUAGAUAUGUGGAGGAAUACCGAUGGCGAAGGCAGCCCCCUGGGAUAACACUGACGCCUCAUGCACGAAAGCGUGGGGAGCAAACAGG
rnacentral:rRNA from 1 species